rnacentral:rRNA from 1 species
CUGCGAGUGAAGCGGGAAAAGCUCAAAUUUAAAAUCUGGCAACCUUUGGUUGUCUGAGUUGUAAUCUAGAGAAGUGUCAUCCGCACUGGACCAUGUACAAGUCUCCUGGAAUGGAGCGUCAUAGAGGGUGAGAAUCCCGUCUUUGACAUGGACUACCAGGGCUUUUGUGAUGUGCUCUCAAAGAGUCGAGUUGUUUGGGAAUGCAGCUCUAAAUGGGUGGUAAAUUCCAUCUAAAGCUAAAUAUUGGCGAGAGACCGAUAGCGAACAAGUACCGUGAGGGAAAGAUGAAAAGAACUUUGGAAAGAGAGUUAAACAGUACGUGAAAUUGCUGAAAGGGAAACGCUUGAAGUCAGUCACAUUUGCUGAGAAUCAGCCUUGCUUUUGCAUGGCUUACUUCACAGUUGAAUGGGCCAACAUCAAUUUUAACCAUUGGAUAAAGGUCAAGGGAAUGUGGCAUCUUUAGAUGUGUUAUAGCCCUUGGUUGCAUACAGUGGUUGGGAUUGAGGAACUCAGCAUGCCGCAAGGCCGGGGAGCAAUCCCACGUUCAUGCUUAGGAUGUUGGCAUAAUGGCUUUAAUCGACCCGUCUUGAAACACGGACCAAGGAGUCUAACAUGCCUGCAAGUGUUUGGGUGGAAAACCCAUGCGCGCAAUGAAAGUGAAAGUUGAGAUCCCUGUCGUGGGGAGCAUUGACGCCCGGACCAGAUCUUUUGUGAUGGAUCCGCGGUAGAGCAUGUAUGUUGGGACCCGAAAGAUGGUGAACUAUGCCUGAAUAGGGUGAAGCCAG